rnacentral:rRNA from 1 species
GAGAGUUAAACAGUACGUGAAAUUGUUGAAAGGGAAACGAUUGAAGCCAGUCGUACCUGCGGACAAUCAGCUUUUUGAGUGUGAUUAUGUGGAUUGUGAGGAGUUUAAUCACCCUCAUGUUUUACGUAUUCGUGCUCUUGGGUGUACUUGCCCGUGUGGUAGGUUAACAUCAAUUUUGGUCGUCAUAAAAUGACUGGAGGAAUGUAGCUUUGGUCUCGUAUCGAAGUGUUAUAGACCCUGGUAGAUGUGACGAUUGGGAUUGAGGAUUGCAACGGAUACCCUUCGGGGCUACUCGUCUGAUCUCUGAAGGUUGCUCCGGUGCCGAAAGCGUGCUUACGGUCAUCGAAAGUGAUUUUCAAAAGGUUAGAACGGGUUAAAUUCGUUAAGGAUGUUGACGUAAUGGCUUUAAACGA